GAUGAACGCUGGCGGCGUGCCUAAUACAUGCAAGUCGAGCGGAAAGGCCUCUUCGGAGGUACUCGAGCGGCGGACGGCUGAGUAACGCGUAGGAACGUACCCCAAAGUGAGGGAUAACUGCUCGAAAGAGUAGCUAAUACCGCAUGUGAUCUCCGGAUUAAAGCCUUAUGCGCUUUGGGAACGGCCUGCGUCCGAUUAGCUUGUUGGCGGGGUAAAAGCCCACCAAGGCGAUGAUCGGUAGCUGGUCUGAGAGGAUGAUCAGCCAGACUGGGACUGAGACACGGCCCAGACUCCUACGGGAGGCAGCAGUAGGGAAUUUUCCACAAUGGGCGAAAGCCUGAUGGAGCAACGCCGCGUGCAGGAUGAAUGCCUUCGGGUUGUAAACUGCUUUUGUUAGUGACGAUUAUGACGGUAGCUAACGAAUAAGGAUCUGCUAACUACGUGCCAGCCGCCGCAGUAA
rnacentral:rRNA from 1 species